AUGCACGCUGGCGGCGUGCCUCAUACAUGCAAGUCGAGCGAACAGAUAAGGAGCUUGCUCCUUUGACGUUAGCGGCGGACGGGUGAGUAACACGUGGGUAACCUACCUAUAAGACUGGGAUAACUUCGGGAAACCGGAGCUAAUACCGGAUAAUAUUUCGAACCGCAUGGUUCGAUAGUGAAAGAUGGUUUUGCUAUCACUUAUAGAUGGACCCGCGCCGUAUUAGCUAGUUGGUAAGGUAACGGCUUACCAAGGCGACGAUACGUAGCCGACCUGAGAGGGUGAUCGGCCACACUGGAACUGAGACACGGUCCAGACUCCUACGGGAGGCAGCAGUAGGGAAUCUUCCGCAAUGGGCGAAAGCCUGACGGAGCAACGCCGCGUGAGUGAUGAAGGUCUUCGGAUCGUAAAACUCUGUUAUUAGGGAAGAACAUACGUGUAAGUAACUGUGCACGUCUUGACGGUACCUAAUCAGAAAGCCACGGCUAACUACGUG
rnacentral:rRNA from 1 species